rnacentral:rRNA from 1 species
GAUGAACGCUAGCGGGAGGCCUAACACAUGCAAGCCGAGCGGUAUUGUUUCUUCGGAAAUGAGAGAGCGGCGUACGGGUGCGUAACACGUGUGCAACCUGCCUUUAUCUGGGGGAUAGCCUUUCGAAAGGAAGAUUAAUACUCCAUAAUAUAUUGAACAGCAUCGUUUAAUAUUGAAAGCUCCGGCGGAUAGAGAUGGGCACGCGCAAGAUUAGCUAGUUGGUGAGGUAACGGCUCACCAAGGCGAUGAUCUUUAGGGGGCCUGAGAGGGUGAUCCCCCACACUGGUACUGAGACACGGACCAGACUCCUACGGGUGGCAGCAGUGAGGAAUAUUGGUCAAUGGGUGCAAGCCUGAACCAGCCAUCCCGCGUGAAGGACGACUGCCCUAUGGGUUGUAAACUUCUUUUGUAUAGGGAUAAACCUACCCUCGUGAGGGUAGCUGAAGGUACUAUACGAAUAAGCACCGGCUAACUCCGUGCCAGCAGCCGCGGUAAAAC